CUCGGAUUUACGAGUAUUAAUUAGUGCUUGCUGUGGCGCUGCCUGCUGACCGAAGUUAAUUAUUUAAUAGACAACAAGAAAAGACAUGCCACCGAAAGUGGUGAAAAAUUACCUUGCAAAUUGAUGCCAGCAUUUCCAAGUGAGAACACAUCCAGUUACUACAUAUUCCUGCUAUGGGCAAAUUAGUGGAUAAAGCAUCUCCGGGAAUCAGAAGGAAGAGGAAGAUGGUGCUCUAUUAGGUUUGCUGUUAGAAGAUGAUGUCCUCUGGUUAAGUACACACAAGUGAUCCAUGGGAUAAAGUUGUGGAAAAUGGACAAAAACUCUACACUACAGAUUUGUUAUGAUAGCAACU